rnacentral:rRNA from 1 species
AGGCAAGUGACUGUACCCCCCACGGAAGCGCGGGCUAGCGCCAUGCCAGCAGCAGCGGUAAGCCGUAGCGAGCGAGGUUUUUCCGGAAUCACUGGGAGUAAAGGGCGAGUAGGGGGCUUCAUAAGUAGUGGGUGAAAUCCUAGGGCUUCACUGCAGGAGUGCCUUCUAAACUUUAGGGGUAGAGCUUGGCACAGGCAGAUGCAAUUCCCGGUGGAGCGGUUGAAUGCGUAGAAAUCGGGAAGAACAUCACACCGAAGGCGGUCUGCUGGGCCGGGCACGGAGUGAGGCGGGACAGCGUGGGGAGCAAACAGGAUUAGAUUCCGUGGUAGUCCUCCCCGUAAACGAUGGGCACUAGGCGUCGGGGGGGUCGACCCUCACGGUGCCGUCGCUAACGCAGUAAGUGCCCCGCCUGGGGAGUCGGCCGCAAGGCUGAAACUCAAAGGAAUUGGCGGAAGCGAAUCCCCCGGCCGCCGUGGCGGCGGGGAGCACCGACUGGGGCCCAUUCACACAUUG